rnacentral:rRNA from 1 species
UACGGGGGGGGCAAGCGUUGUCCGGAUUUAUUGGGCGUAAAGAGCGUGUAGGCGGCCAUGUAGGUCCGUUGUGAAAACUCGAGGCUCAACCUCGAGACGCCGAUGGAAACCAUGUGGCUAGAGUCCGGAAGAGGAGAGUGGAAUUCCUGGUGUAGCGGUGAAAUGCGCAGAUAUCAGGAAGAACACCCGUGGCUAAGGCGGCUCUCUAGUACGGUACUGACGCUGAGACGCGAAAGCGUGGGGAGCGAACAGG